AUUGAACGCUGGCGGCAUGCUUUACACAUGCAAGUCGAACGGUAACAGGCCGCAAGGUGCUGACGAGUGGCGAACGGGUGAGUAAUGCAUCGGAACGUGCCCAGUCGUGGGGGAUAACGCAGCGAAAGCUGUGCUAAUACCGCAUACGAUCUGUGGAUGAAAGCGGGGGACCUUCGGGCCUCGCGCGAUUGGAGCGGCCGAUGUCAGAUUAGGUAGUUGGUGGGGUAAAGGCUCACCAAGCCAACGAUCUGUAGCUGGUCUGAGAGGACGACCAGCCACCCGGGGACUGAGCCACGGCCCAGACUCCUACGGGAGGCAGCAGUGGGGAAUUUUGGACAAGGGGCGCAAGCCUGAUCCAGCAAUGCCGCGUGCAGGAAGAAGGCCUUCGGGUUGUAAACUGCUUUUGUACGGAGCGAAAAGGCUCCCUCUAAUACAGGGGGCUCAUGACGGUACCGUAAGAGUAAGCACCGGCUAACUACGUGCCAGCAGCCGCCGUAACAC
rnacentral:rRNA from 1 species